AGUGAACGCUGGCGGUAGGCCUAACACAUGCAAGUCGAACGGCAGCACAGUAAGAGCUUGCUCUUACGGGUGGCGAGUGGCGGACGGGUGAGGAAUACAUCGGAAUCUACUUUUUCGUGGGGGAUAACGUAGGGAAACUUACGCUAAUACCGCAUACGACCUACGGGUGAAAGCAGGGGAUCUUCGGACCUUGCGCGAUUGAAUGAGCCGAUGUCGGAUUAGCUAGUUGGCGGGGUAAAGGCCCACCAAGGCGACGAUCCGUAGCUGGUCUGAGAGGAUGAUCAGCCACACUGGAACGGGGACACGGUCCAGACGCCUACGGGAGGCAGCAGUGGGGAAUGUUGGACAGUGGGCGCGAGCCUGAUCCAGCCAUACCGAGUGGGUGAAGAAGGCCUUCGGGUUGUAAAGACCUUUUGUUGGGAAAGAAAAGCAGCAGGUUAAUACCCCGCUGUUCUGACGGUACCCAAAGAAUAAGCACCGGCUAACUUCGUG
rnacentral:rRNA from 1 species